CUCUAACACAUUACUGAAGCAAACUUAGCUUCUAUUUUCCUGUGCUUCUAUUAUCUAGGAGUUGAUACCAAAGCUUGGUUGUGGAAUGAAUGCAUUGACAACAUUUGGUGGCCAAAUAGCCAUUCAGAGUAUUUACUUGCUAGCAGAAUGUACUGACUGACCCAUACAUUCUUUAAGAUGUACUUAGGAGUGUUUGGGGGCUUGUGCUCCCUGGCUGUGGCUGUGUCGCUUUCUGGUAAAGGCAUAUAGUUGGUAGCUGUGGCGUCUGGGCUGGGAUGAACCGCGCUCCCGGUGGGUCAGGAGAGCCGAGCAUGAUCCAUGACCAGCACAGUGGUUGCAGUUGGACUGAGCAUUGCUGCUAUGGGAUUUGCAGGCCGAUAUGUCUUACAAGCCAUGAAGCAUAUGGAGCCUCAAGUAAAACAAGUUUUUCAAAGUCUACCAAAAUCUGCCUUCAGUGGUGGCUAUUACAGAGGUGGGUUUGAACCCAAAAUGACAAAACGAGAAGCAUCAUUAAUACUAGGUGUAAGCCCUACUGUCAAUAAAGGAAAAAUAAGAGAUGCUCACCGACCAAUUAUGCUCUUAAAUCAUCCAGACAAAGGAGGAUCUCCUUAUAUAGCAGCCAAAAUCAUUGAAGCUAAAGAUUUACUAGAAGGUCACGCUAAAAAAUGAAAAAUAUGAUGAAUUUUAAGUUCAUACUAGUAUAAUUUAUGUGUAUGGUUACCAGCUUUUUAUUAAACAAUGCCUCAGAUAAACUUUUAUAAAUGAUUCAGUACAAACAAGUUAAAAAAAAAAAAAGAUGUACUUGGAUCUUAACU